ACGGGGCCCGCACAACCGGUGGAGCAUGUGUUUUAAUCCGACGUAACGCGAAGAACCUUACCUGGGCUCGAACGGCGGGUCAACGGGGGUGGAAACAUCGCUACUCCGCAAGGAGGUCCGGUCGAGGUGCUGCAUGGCUGUCGUCAGCUCGUGUCGUGAGAUGUUGGGUUAAGUCCCGCAACGAGCGCAACCCUUGCCCUGUGUUGCCAUCAUUCAGUUGGGAACUCUCAGGGGACCGCCAGCGACAAGCUGGAGGAAGGUGGGGAUGACGUCAAGUCAGCAUGGCCUUUAUGUCCGGGGCUACACACGUGCUACAAUGGCCGGUACAACGCGACGCCAACCCGCGAGGGGGAGCAAAUCGCUAAAAACCGGUCUCAGUUCGGAUUGCAGGCUGCAACUCGCCUGCAUGAAGCUGGAAUCGCUAGUAAUGGCGCAUCAGCAUGGCGCCGUGAAUACGUUCCCGGGCCUUGUACACACCGCCCGUCACAUCACGAAAGUGGGUUGUACUAGAAGUCCGCAGGCUAACCCGCAAGGGAGGCAGCGGCCCAAGGUAUGACUCAUGAUUGGGGUGAAGUCGUAACAAGGUAA
rnacentral:rRNA from 1 species